UCUCCCGCAUUGCAGGCAGACGCUUUACCAUCUGAGCCACCUGAGUUCAGGUUAAAUCAGGGUGCACCGAUUAGAUCCCUGGUCAGGGAACUAAGAUCAUAUAAGCCAAGAGUUAUAGACAAAAAACAAAAAAUUUGAAAUCAGUAAAUGACUUUUUAAAAAGACGGCUCUGCCCCAGCUCUCCCUCCCUGUGUCCACAAGCGUGAUCUCUGCAUCUGUGCUCCUGUUCCUGCUUGUCCUAUUUGCGGCAUGUGGGAUCUAGUUCCCCAACAGGAAUCAAAUCCGGGCGCCCUGGAACAGAAGCGUGGAGUCUUAGCCAUUGGACCACCUGGGAAGUCCCAGGCAAAGCGUUUUAAAAAGCCAGGUACUUCAGAGAAGAGCUGAAGCAGAGGAUGUGAGGAAGGCCCGUCUCAGUCCUGGGAAGGCCCCGAGGGGUCCUGCUCGGUUACAGUGAACUGGAUCGCACCCUGCCUGGCAGUAGAAAAGAGUAGCUCCAAGGGUCUGAAGGCAAGGAAAGGAUUGUAAAGGUGGAGGUGAGUGGAGCGAACGGAUUUUGAACAAAGAACGCAUUGUUGGAGGCAAGGUCGCACUCUUCCCAGAGAUGGAAGGGGUCCAGGAGUCAAGAUUACCCCUAGUGGCGACCAGAAAACACCAGGGGGGCUGAUGCAAGAUCAUAGUCCGGGGAAGUCAGAAGUGUCCUUAGGUUAGGUAUUAUGUGUUGGUCUUCUGCCACGGGCCCAAGACGACCGAUUCCAUCGGAGGCCUGCGGUUUCCUUCUUCACAAAAGAAAAAACAAUGACGGUGGGGCAGUCCCACUUCUGGGGAUUUUCCUUGAGGACUAAUUCCCACAGGUUCCAGAGGAAACAUGCCUUGUUGAUGUUCAUCCAGCCGCGUUUGGGAGCGUAGAAACGACCUGCAAGCAAAGUGCAGGGGCCGGGUUGGCGCUCCCUGUUCAUGCAUCACGGCGCCUCUGAAACUUCCUGUUAGGUGUACGUGGGUGCAGUCAGGGACCCUCCGGGGACAGCUUUACAGCUUUUCAAGAGCUUCUGGU
ensembl:lncRNA